rnacentral:lncRNA from 1 species
GAUCCAGAUACCCUCCCCAGUUGCACUGGGAGAACUGGAUGGAGUGAGACACCAUUCUCCAACAUGCACCUUUUCAGCAGUGUUUUAUAAGAUAAUAUUGACAUGAAGAUGUUAAGUAUUUCAUGAAAAUACAUUAGGGUGAAAGCAAGUGUCAGUCUGUUCAAAAUGUAAUCAAUAUAUUAAUAAUCAACCAUGAGACAGAGACAGCAGCAAGGAUGGGGUAAAGGAGAUUAGCUCUCUUUCUCUGCCUGCUCUCCCUGGUAUUGAAAUCUGGCUAUACUUCUUCCCAGCUCUUGAGAAUUAUUGCAAAACUGGGUCAAUGAAUCAAAGUCAUGGAGUGGCAGAUUCCACCUCAAUGUAAGAAAGAACUUCUUUUUUUUUUGAGACAGAGUCUCACUCUGAAGUCUCCUCUUAAAGGGCUGUGCAAAACUCCAAACAGAAAGGCUUGGCUCUGAGAGAGCCAGAUCCCAAGUGCCCCAGGGUUGUAAUGAGUCUCCUCGCAUUAUUGAACAAACACCUCUAAGUCACCUUUUGCUGGAGGAAGCUUGGUCCUUACAGGAGGGCCUUAGAUUGGGCCCUGAUAAGGCAGCACAUCCUGUCUGCCUCCCUGUCCACACCCUCACAGCUGAGCCUGCUGCGGUUGCUGCUGACUUCAAAGGCACUGCUUCCCUUGGAUCCACAUCAAGGACUGGAAUGAGAAAAGGGUCCCCUGACCUUCUUAUAUCACCUCGCCUAAGUGUCCCCAGCGGUGCUCUGCAGAGCAGAGGCCCCAGCUCCAAAACAACAGAACACAAAGUACUUUAACCUUUGAAUGUGGCAAGACCUCCGUGAAAAAUCGUUUCUCAGCCCAUUUGAUGGGAAAAGGGUGCUAUUUUUGUGACUACCUGUAACAUCUGAGUAUGCUCGUCAGAAGUCACUCCGAGGAAAAAUCUGAUUAUUAGUUGGGAAAAUGGGGCAAGGAGGAGGCAGAGAAGAGAAGUAGCUCUGCUGGGUAUGUGGCAGUGUGACUUCUAGAACUGUUUGUGUCCAUGUGGACUUGGACAAGCCACUUCAGGACUCUGGGUCUGGGUCUUCUCAUCCAAAACAAGGUAGGGAAGAGCCGCGCAGCCAGCAGAGCUGCUGCCUUCAGCACUGGGGACCCCAGGGCAGACAUAGGGCUUCUGCCUUCUGCCCAUUCCACAUGCUGGAGUCCUCCUCGGGGUGCAGUCCUGGCAAGCGUGUGUGUCUGUGGUCAAGACGACAGACCUUUCCUGCCAUUGCUUUAGUGGGAAAAUUGCAGAAAAAGGACUACAAACACCUCUGCAGUCUUCCUUUGAUUAAUGAAAUCAGGGCAUUACUCAGAAUUGCUCCUGGGGGCGCAGUGACCCACGCAUGUAACCCAGUAUUUUGGGAGGCUGAGGCAGGUGGAUCACAUGAGGUCAGGAGUUCGAGACCAGCCUGGCCAACAUGGUGACACUCUUCUCUACCAAAAAGGCAAAAAUUAGCCGGGUGUGGUGGAGGGCACCUGUAAUUCCAGCUGCUUGGGAGGCUGAGGCAGGAGGGUCACUUGAACCUGGGAGGCAGAGGUUGCAGUGAGCCAAGAUCACGCCACUGCACUCCAGCCUAGGUGACAGAGCAAGACUCCAUCUCAAAAAAAAAAAAAAUGCCCCUGGGAUGUGUAUUAAUCACAGGUUAAUGACUUACAAAUUCAUAUCGUGUCAUAUGUAUGACAGAUUAUAUUUAGAUGUAUUUAUAUUACAUGUAUGACACUACAUGAGUACAAAUUACAGGUGUUUGUACAGAUAUUUGUAUAUUUAUUAAAAAUAUCUAUUAUAAGUAUAGAUAGGUAAUUACCUACUAUUUUAUAGGUAUUUGUCUCUAUAGACACAUAUAUAUGGACAGGUUUUUUUGUGUGUAUAUAUAUAUAUGCACACAUAUAUAUAACACUAUAUCAAUACAAAUCACAGGUAUUUUUAUAUAUAUUACAAAUACCUAUUAGAGAUAUGUAUUAGUAAAUGUCAUAUACAUAUUUAUAUAUAUAUACAUGUAAAUAUAUAGGUAUUUGUGUGUAUAUGACACUAUAUGAAUACAAAUCACAGGCAUAUACUUACACACAGAUACGGAGUCACCCAAGGAUUCCCUAUAAGGCCAUGGACAAAAAGCAUGUGUCUCCCAUGGUGGACUGAAUUGUGUCACCCUCAAAAGAUACACUGAAGUCCUAACCCUGGUACCUGUGAAUAUGACCUUAUUUUUGAAAUAAAAAUAUAUUUGCAGAUGUAAUUAUGAUGUAGGUGGAGAUGAGAUUAUUCUGGAGUAGGGUGGGCCCUCAAUCCAAUACGGCUGGUGUCCUUAUAAGAAGAGGGGAGAGGAACAGAGACAGACACUGUCAUCCACAAGGAGACCACCAUGUGAAGACACAGAUGCAUAGGGAAGGGCCACGUGAAGAUGACAGCAGUGACGGGAGUGGGGCAGCUACAAGCCAAGGAAUGUGGAGGAGUGCCGGCCACCACCAGAAGCUGAGAAGAGGCAAGGAAGGACCCUUCCCCACAGCCUUUAGGAGGAACAUGGCCCUGCCGAAACCUUGAUAUCACACCUCUAGCCUCCAGAACAACGAUGCAAUCAAUUUCUGUUGUUUUCAGACACUCAGUAAAGUACCCGCGUGGCUAGGGGAGCCCUAGGAAGCGAGUAUAGCUCUCGUGGCCGAAUGGAAUGAAGCGAAGCCUUCAUGUCAGCAUUGGGCUUGCAGGUGCUGAGCCCCCGAUGGUGGCCCCUCUUCCCGGCUUUCUCUCAGGGGCAUGGGUGGGGUGGAGAUAUUCAACUACUUCCAACGGAAACCAACACUUGAAAGGUUAUGAAGGCCCCUAAACCUCCUGCUCUUCCAUGGUGAUGGCUGACAGCUAAAGCCACACUGCCACUACCCUAAGCCCAAGCUUGAUCACCUGGAAAUGGGGACUGAGAGAGGACGAGAACAGCACAGCCUUUGAGCUCUCAUGGGGUGGCGUAAAUUUAUGGUCAAUAUGCCUCCAGAUCAGAGGUCCUGCUGUUAGAGAGUUUUCUUUUUUUGCUUUAGUGGUACACAGGAAUUCUCCCCCAGCCCCCUCAAGAUACUCACACAUCUUUUUAAAAUUUGCACCUUUUUUUCAGUCUGGUUUCCUAUGGUGAAGGGGAGGCUAGGAAAUGCCCAAUAAAUCAUCUGUCUGUCUUCACUCAAUUGAAAGGCAGGAAAUGCAGAGAACAGUCACGUUACCUUUCCACUUUGCAUAUAACAAGAGCUAUCAGGACCUGUUCCUUUGAAGGGGAGGCCCUUCUGACAGCAAUAUUAAAUUUUCGAGGCCACUGGAGUUUGUUUCUUGGGACCAGACCCAAAGUGGGCAGGCAUGUGGGAUGUUGGCUCUUUCCCCUACCAGCCCCUUCUAGGAGUAACUUCUUGGGCUUACCCUGGGAAAUCUACUCAGUCAGCAAUGAUUUAGGGGCUCCAUGUGCACAGCACCAUUGUAAGUCUAUGUGGAUUAAAGGAAUUCUACUCUUGAGUCCUAAUUCUUAACAAAUUUACAUCUACAGACAGUCCUAGACUUAUAAUGAUUCAACUAAAUGAUUCCUUGACUUUAUGAUGGUGUGAAACUUCCAAUUUUAACACAAUGUACAGUAUUCAAUAAACAUGAGAUAUUCCCUACUUUAUUAUAAAGUAGGCUUUGUGUUAGAUGAUUUUGCCCAUUGUAGGUUAAUGUAAGUGCUCUGAGCAUGUGUACGGUAGGCGAGGCUAAGCUACAGAGGUUUGGUAAGUUGGGUGAAUUAAAUGCAUUUUCAACUCACAAUAUUUUCAACUUUCGAUGGGUUUAUUGGAACUUAAACUUAUUAUGAGUGGAGAUUCAUCUGUAGUUGGUGCAACAGCUAACCCAUGUACAUAAAAUAAUGACCCCAUACAAGGGAGUUUAUAAAAAGUGUUCUCCUGAAAGUGUAGAAAGGAGCCGAAGAUGCUUCCAGGUGGCCAGCCAAAGCUUCUUGGAAGAGGUGAAGGCUCUGAGCUGAGGCUUGAAGGCUAGGUAGGGCUGGGGAACACAGGAAGGAGAAAUGGCAGUGCCCCAAUGCCGGGGACUCCUGAGGAUGCCAUGGAAUGAGGUGUGAGGAAGCUUAUUCAGGGAACACUGAGAAACUCAGGGUGUGUGGAGAAGGUGGGGUGGGGUGGUAGGAAACAAGGCAGGAAGGGUAUGCAGGCGCCAUCCUCUAGGAUGCUUUGUGGAUGACAGAUUAAAAUUGUGCUUGCAGUUGGUGUGACCAGCCCUCCCUGGAAGAUGGCCUCCACUUGGUCUUGCAUUCAAAGAAACAUAUGUAACUGCAAAUAUUUUCAGGCCUAAUGUGAUCUCCAUGGUAGGGUUUCCUGAGAGGCCAUGCAGGGGUUUCCUGCAGUGCAUUUCCCAGUGAACCUUUCCUCAAACCUUCUGGGACAUUUGCUCCUCAGGUUUCACGCUCUUAAAAGACUCCUCAGUCUUGUUCUUCCUCCCUUCCUCUUUCUAGCCACCUCCUCUUCUCAGGCCGCUCUCUCCCCAUCCCCCAGGGGUCCCCUCACUUGUCCUCUGGGUAGCCUGGGCUGAACUCCACCUGAUGGCUUUAGGAGCCAUCUGGGAGCGAUCUGCAGGGAGGAAGGGCAUGCUGAGGACGCUUCAGACAAGGAGAGCAGCUGGAGGCUGUUGGUUCCAGGUAGGGGCCUGAGCAAGGCCCUGGGAAGGAAGAGUCCCAAAGUAGGAUAGGAAAGUCCAACAGGCAUCAGGGUGCCCAAGGAUGGCUCUGGUCUGGGUGGGUUUUCACGUUUGAGGUCUGUCCCCG